GACGAACGCUGGCGGCGUGCCUAAUACAUGCAAGUAGAACGCAGUUGCGAACGGGUGAGUAACGCGUAGGUAACUGCCUCAUAGCGGGGGAUAACUAUUGGAAACGAUAGCUAAUACCGCAUCCUGUGCGAUGGCCCUGCGUUGUAUUAGUUAGUUGGUGAGGUAAAGGCUCACCAAGGCGACGAUACAUAGCCGACCUGAGAGGUUGGUUGGCCACACUGGGCAUGGGACAAGGCCCAGACUCCGACGGGAGGCAGGAGUAGGGAAUCUUCGGCAAGGGACGGAAGUCCGACCCAGCAACGCCGAGUGAGUGUAGAAGGUUUUCGGAGUGGAAAGCACUGUUGGGAGAGAAGCGGUAACUACCCAGAAAGGGACGGCUAACUACGUGCCAGCAGCCGCGGUAAUAC
rnacentral:rRNA from 1 species